AAAAUUGGACAAUGGGGGAAACCCUGAUCCAGCCAUCCUGCGUGUAGGAGUAAGGCCUUCGGGUUGCAAAGUACUUUUGGCUGUGAAGAACAGGUAUCACCUACUACGCGUUACUGCUGACGGUAUCCGCCGAAUCAGCACCGGACAACUACGUGCCAGCAGCAGCGGUAAGACGUAGGGUGCAAGCGUUAAUCGGAAUUACUGGGCGUAAAGCGUGUGUAGGCGGUUCGGAAAGAAAGAUGUGAAAUCCCAGGGCUCAACCUUGGAACUGCAUUUUUAACUGCCGAGCUAGAGUAUGUCAGAGGGGGGUAGAAUUCCACGUGUAGCAGUGAAAUGCGUAGAUAUGUGGAGGAAUACCGAUGGCGAAGGCAGCCCCCUGGGAUAAUACUGACGCUCAGACACGAAAGCGUGGGGAGCAAACAGG
rnacentral:rRNA from 1 species